AAGUCUAUCUUCUUAACUAGAAUACUUGUUCUUGUCCCAGGGGUAUAGUGAAUAUGCUGCAUGGUCAAAUUGGUUUGUAUAAGUGGAAACUGACAAUAUGUGAGAAGGCCAUGCUGCAGACGUGAUGUUUGGUGGCAACUGAGCUUCUAAAUAAGAGCUAAGCAAGUGUCCCUGAUUCUUCUGCCUUCAUUUGGAAACAUAUCAUCAGAAACGUCAAACUGGAGGAAAUGUCACAAUUUUGAUGUUACUUCCUCCAGGAAACCUUCUUGAUCCCCCAAGACUGGAUCAGGUGUCUCUGAGUGCUCUCAUCCUCUCUCUCCAUGUGGAGACCUUCACCCUCACAAGAUGAGGCCCCUUGAUUUUGGACUUCAGUCUCCAGAACUGUACUUGGUUUGGGGCACAGAUGAAGAUGGAGAUGAGGAGAAUCUGAGUUGGGACAUUCUGAAAGUGAUACAGAGGGAGACAUAUUCUAGGUAUACGAAGUUCUAGUUUAUUCAAUGGGAGCAGCAACCUCUUACUCAUUCACUUCUUAAAAAUCUUCAACUCAGUACUGGGAGAUCUUUUUUUUUUAAAAAAGUCAAUAUAUUAUCAAUUUAAUUAUGUAAAUUUAAAAUACUUAUUUUUAAAAGCUUACACAGCCAUUUUUGUAGAUAUUAUCUGGUUUCAUAAAAUCAGAGAUUUUCAGACAGUACUUUAAUCAGCAACUUUCUUUUCUUAAGUUUGAUACAAUUAGUUCUUCAGCAAGAGGUCAUGGUCAUUUCUGGCAUUUUCUUGGUUAUAGCAUUCUUUUAGAAUCUGGGUCUCUGGACAAUAAGAAUCUGUGCAACCAGGGAGGGAAAAUUCGCUUGUGUUAGAUUUCCAUAUUUCCCAGGGAAGUUCAUGUCUUCUCUUUGUGAAACUUCUCCCUGUGGUUUAUAGUUUGUGCCUUUCUCCUUUAGGACUCAAGUGUCUGUUUCCUUCAAAGUUUACUGCUUUUCUGAAAAGAAAAGCUAGUACAACUGUUUUUAUGUGGAUGUGUCCAUACUAGACAAAAAGAUUUUAACUUCAUUCAUAUCAAAACCUACAAUAUUUGUAGAUCUUUUUCAUUAGAAGGCUGAUGGCUCAUUUGAACAUCUGUUUCUUUGUUUUCCUUUAGGGAUUUCCAACUAUUCGCUAACCUCUGAGUGAGUGUGACAAAAAUGACUCUGCUGCUCUGUGUUAAUAUAAUGUAGAAUGAAAUGUAUAAUCAGAUGCUCCUUUCUAAUAGACAUCUCAAUCUCAGUGUAUCCAAAGCUGAACUCCUGGUAUCUAAACCCCAGGCCACAUGCCCCACGACCCUCCCCUCCGGGAGCAACCUGCUAUUUUCUCCAACUUUUCAAUACCAGUUGAUGACAGCACCAUCUUUCCAGCAAUCCCCAUACCACGUUGGCCCACACCAUCCUGGUCUACCUUCUCUGUCUUACCCUAUUUGACUUUUUCAUUUCCCCACAGCACUUAUCAUCUCUUAACACACUAUAGGAUUUACUCAUUCGUAAUGCGUAUUGUCUAUUGUCUGUGUCCUGAAUUAGAAUUUAAGAUUUCUCAAAGGCACAAGGGCAAGGAUCUUUGACCCAAAGGCCUAAAAUAGUGCCUCCUUGGAGGGCACGCAAUAAAUAUUUGUAAAUAAAGGAUGAAAUAAGCAAUGAAAAUAUUCCAUAAGAGAUUCUUGAGUUGGCUAUUUUUAGUGUUUAGAAGUAGCUAGAAUAUUCAAUAUCAAAUAAUCCCUUGCUGACUAUCAAAGUUAGAAUUAUCCCAGAUUUGCUAUGAUUUGGCUGCAAAAAUAAGAGUGAGCUGAGUUAGGUUGGUUUCUAGGGACAUCCAGGAAGUAAAACAAAGUGUAAGGACUAGAAGAAUGCUUUCUAAUUUACUGAUAGUUAAUUUUUGAUAGAUCUUUUAUAUGGAACACUUUGAGAACUGGUGCAUGUAGAAAAAGACAUUCGCUAUGGUCUUGAGAAAAAUCCAGUUGAUACGUUGCUGCCAUUCUUCUAAUUCAGUGUGGUCACCUUAUUCAAAGAGCUCUGCUCUGAUCCUGACAAUACUCAAUACAUUUGGAUGAUUAAAUUUUUUUCUGCUUAAACUCUCUCAUCUCAGCUGUAAAAAUUAGAAGUAGGUAGUUUUGUUUUAUUUCUGGCCCCAAGCAAGAAAAUAAAUUUGUUUUCAUUAAAAUUUUUCUUAGAACAUGGGUGAAAAAGUAAUGAGAAGAAAUAAUUCAUAUUUCAUUUUCUUUUCAAACAAUUAAGAUAGAAGCCUAUUAUUGUUUGUAAGAUAAAUUGUAUAGAUAAUUUGUGGGAUACCAAAGUUGAAUUUUAUAGCGAAAAGAAUUAUCAUUUUAGUUUUUCCAGGAAGACUGGCUUUUACUUAAUGUGUUUGAUUAAAGAGUCUGAAUAUCAGAUACAUUGUUUUGAGUGAUAUCAAUUCAUUUUCUAUACUUUAGUUUGUAGGACCAGUAUUUCAAUUUAUAUGAUGAGCUGCUACAAAUUGACAUAAUAGAAAUGGUUACAGUUUUAGAACCAAUGGGACAGGAAUAAAAUGAUUAAACACUUAUAAUCUGUCAUUCUAUAAUCUGAUGUAAACUAUCUGAAGAUUCAUACAACUUCAGAAUUGGAAGGAACUUGAAGAUCUAUUUCGAAAAACUCAUUUUAUAUUUGUUGGAGCUUUGACUAAGACACAUUCCGUGACUUGUCCAAAGUUUCCCAUCACACAGCUAGUGGCAGGACCAGAGCUAGACCCAGGCAUGAUGACCAAUGGGGCAGAACUUUU